rnacentral:rRNA from 1 species
GUGAGGAAUUUUCCGCAAUGGGCGAAAGCCUGACGGAGCAAUGCCGCGUGAAGGAUGAAGGCCUAUGGGUUGUAAACUUCUUUUCUCAGAAAAGAAUUAUGACGGUAUCUGAGGAAUAAGCAUCGGCUAACUCUGUGCCAGCAGCCGCGGUAAGACAGAGGAUGCAAGCGUUAUCCGGAAUGCUUGGGCGUAAAGCGUCUGUAGGUUGUUUAAAAAGUAUUCUGUCAAAGAUUAGGGCUUAACCCUAGAUAGGCAGAAUAAACUUUUAAGCUAGAGUUUGGUAGAGGCAGAGGGAAUUCCCGGUGGAGCGGUGAAAUGCGUAGAUAUCGGGAGGAACACCAAAGGCGAAGGCACUCUGCUGGGCCAAUACUAACACUGAGAGACGAAAGCGAGGGGAGCAAAUGGGAUUAGAAACCCGAGUAGUCC